rnacentral:rRNA from 1 species
GCCAGCCCGCUCAGAAACUUAAAGGAAUUGACGGGGCCCGCGACAAGCGGUGGAGUAUGUGGUUAAUUCGAUGCAACGCGAAGAACCUUACCUGGUCUUGACAUCCCGGAGACCCUUAGGAAACUAGGGGGUGCUUCCAUCUGGAAGAAUCUGGAGACAGGUGCUGCAUGGCUGUCGUCAGCUCGUGUCGUGAGAUGUUGGGUUAAGUCCCGCAACGAGCGCAACCCUUGCCUUUAGUUGCCAGCAGUUCGGCUGGGCACUCUAAAGGGACUGCCGGUGUUAAACCGGAGGAAGGUGGGGAUGACGUCAAGUCCUCAUGGCCUUUAUGACCAGGGCUACACACGUACUACAAUGGCCGAUACAAAGGGCAGCGACACUGCGAGGUGAAGCCAAUCCCGUAAAAUCGGUCUCAGUCCGGAUUGGAGUCUGCAACUCGACUCCAUGAAGUUGGAAUCGCUAGUAAUCGUGGAUCAGCAUGCCACGGUGAAUACGUUCCCGGGCCUU